rnacentral:misc_RNA from 1 species
GAUGAGAACGUAGCGAAACGCGAUAAGUAAUGUGAAUUGCAGAAUCCAGUGAAUCAUCGAAUCUUUGAACGCACAUUGCGCCCGCCAGCAUUCUGGCGGGCAUGCCUGUUCGAGCGUCAUUUCAACCCUCGACCUCCCCUUGGGGAGGUCGGCGUUGGGGACCGGCAGCACACCGCCGGCCCUGAAAUGGAGUGGCGGCCCGUCCGCGGCGACCUCUGCGCAGUAAUACAGCUCGCACCGGGACCCCGACGCGGCCACGCCGUAAAACACCCAACUUCUGAACGUUGACCUCGAAUCAGGUAGGACUACCCGCUGAACUUAAGCAUAUCAAUAAGCGGAGGA